rnacentral:rRNA from 1 species
GGGCCUUGACGGCAGCUACCAUGCAAGUCGACGGUAGCACAGAGAGCUUGCUCUUGGGUGACGAGUGGCGGACGGGUGAGUAAUGUCUGGGAAACUGCCCGAUGGAGGGGGAUAACUACUGGAAACGGUAGCUAAUACCGCAUAACGUCUUCGGACCAAAGUGGGGGACCUUCGGGCCUCACACCAUCGGAUGUGCCCAGAUGGGAUUAGCUAGUAGGUGGGGUAAUGGCUCACCUAGGCGACGAUCCCUAGCUGGUCUGAGAGGAUGACCAGCCACACUGGAACUGAGACACGGUCCAGACUCCUACGGGAGGCAGCAGUGGGGAAUAUUGCACAAUGGGCGCAAGCCUGAUGCAGCCAUGCCGCGUGUAUGAAGAAGGCCUUCGGGUUGUAAAGUACUUUCAGUGGGGAGGAAGGCGUUAAGGUUAAUAACCUUGGCGAUUGACGUUACCCGCAGAAGAAGCACCGGCUAACUCCGUGCCAGCAGCCGCGGUAAUACGGAGGGUGCAAGCGUUAAUCGGAAUUACUGGGCGUAAAGCGCACGCAGGCGGUCUGUCAAGUCGGAUGUGAAAUCCCCGGGCUCAACCUGGGAACUGCAUUCGAAACUGGCAGGCUAGAGUCUUGUAGAGGGGGGUAGAAUUCCAGGUGUAGCGGUGAAAUGCGUAGAGAUCUGGAGGAAUACCGGUGGCGAAGGCGGCCCCCUGGACAAAGACUGACGCUCAGGUGCGAAAGCGUGGGGAGCAAACAGGAUAAAC